UUUUUUUUUUUUUUUAAGAUUUUAUUUAUUUAUUCAUGAGAAACACACAGAGAGGCAGAGACAUAGACAGAUGGAGAAGCAGGUUCCCUGCAGGGAGCACAAUGUGGGACUUGAUCCCAGGACCCUGGGGCCAUGCCCUGAGCUGAAGGCAGACACUCAACCACGGAGUCACCCAGGUGUCCCGGGAAAUUCACUGUUGCACACAAACUCACUAAAUAUAUGUAUGCACAUAGUAAAAUAAGAUUUAAUGGAAAAAUUAAAAAAUGUGAUUAUCCUUUAAAAUUAAUUAUGAAAUUAUUUAUAAUCCUUGCAUACUAUAACAGGUAUAAAAUAAGUAAAGUUUUGAUAUUAUGUGCAUUGCUUAAGAUAUAUACUAUAAUAGAAUUUAUUUUUUCAUUGAAUUUCACCUUAGCAAACAUUUAUUGGGCCCCUCUCUUGAACUAGGUGCUAUCCUAACCAUGAGGGAUACAACGACUGGCAUCUUGUGCUCUGUCAUCAACGAGAUCAGAUUAGAGAGGAAAGAGAUACCACUGGAAUUCAAAGGAUCGAACUCAGUGCAGAAAUGGAAGUGUAUGAGAAGCCACAAAACCACCCGAAAAGAGCAUAUGGAGGUAAAUCACGGAGCCAAGGGUGAUGAGAAUCCAUUCUGGAAGAAAUGACGUGUAAGCAGACACCUGAAGCUGAGUGCCAGGCCAGGAACAGUCUAAACUCAAGCCCAGAGGCAUCGAGAACCAGGUAUUCACAGAGGCUGUGAUUGUUUCACGAUCCUACAAGGAAAUCACGUGUAUGUGGGUGGGUGGGGGCAGACAAAGCAGAGAAGGUAAACAGACAACCAUCAAGGAGAAUCUUGAAUCUGAAGUGAAGGGGCCUGAACUUGACCUUGCAGGUGAUGGGAGCCAGUGACUGGUGGUGAGCAGGGAGCAACCUGAUACUUAAAAUCACUGAUGCUAUUUAGAGCAAUCAGGUGGAUCUGAGCAGGCAAGGGGAGCAGCACAACUUUAGAGAAGGUAGGACUAGGACUUGAAGGGAGUGGCUGGUAUUGAGCUAGCUAUCAGGGAGUCUUACUUCUGGAGGGCUCUUUCAGGCUUCCCCAACAGAAAUGUCUUUGGAAAGCUGCAAAUUAAUUUGGUAAGCCAACUCCCAUUUUCCCAUUGACCAUUUACUCAUGUUUAUGUUAAUUUCAUUGGUUUUUCAGUUGGCACUGGACUCUAAAGGGUAGAGCUUAGAAUGUAAUAAGAACCUUGACGUUCAUUAGCCUUCAGAGCAUUUUUUAGCUACAGAAAUUGUCUCUAAGUAAAGGUUAUGUGGAACAUUGGUGUGUAAAACACACAGACACACAGUGGUUUUGGCUGAAGCAGAGCCUCAAAUCUCAGUGCCCCAUCAGCCUGGAAACCUCUGUACUCCGGGGAACAGUAGCAAAAACCAUUGAUGAAGUUCAGUGCAUUCAUUCUACUGAUGAGCAAAUGAGGUUCCCCUCGGCACAGGUCUUGUUUUAGAGCUGUGAUACAGAAGGAGAUAGAUGGGUUCAUAAGCCAGCCUUCCAGUUAUGAGCCAUGCUACUUCGAGAAGUCACUUUUCUCCUAUACUUCUCUUGCCUCAUCUAUAAAGCUAAGGUGACAGUGCCCCCCCCACACCUCAAGGCUGUUCAAGGCAAAGUGCUUUAUAAAAUGUGUAAAUCUAUGGGAAAAAGAAAGCAAAUUGCCAGCUUCAAACCAGAGAGCUGACAGCCAAGACCUGCAUCCCAGACAGCCAGGUGACCCAUCCAAGUCCCCAACCCAACCCCCACCUCCCUGAUGAGUAUGGAGAUGACGGAGGACAUGAGUCUCUUUGAGGCCACUGUUUAAUAAACAGCCUGAAGUGGAACUCUUGUUGGCAUCUAUAGCAAGUUUCUUGGUUCAGAGAAUCCUUUCAAAAAUCUAAUCUGUCAAAAGACAAUGGUUUCUAAAUAGGAAGAAUACAUUUUAGCUCUCAAGUCUGAGAAACAUCUGGCACAUGAACCAUCAUUCUUGAUACACUUUGGCAAGGUGUAUAAGAAAUCUGCACCUGCAGAUAGACAAACGUGAGCUUGUACCUUGCCCCCUCAUUACCUGCUUUCUUCCAAUAAUUACCUGUUAUGAGAAUUAAGGGAGAUGACUGAUGCACAUAAAGGCUUUCCCACCCUAACUGGCCCCCUGAAAAGGGCCCAGUAAAUGCUAAGCCAAACACUAGCUCCACAAUCUUCUGCUUAUGCCACAUCAUGUAAAUCACUACGCUAUGUGGCUGUUUGUCCAUUAACAUUGCACUGUUUUCACCGGGAAACAUACCAGUAUUAACAAGUACUCUUAGAGUAUCACUAUCCAUUACUAACCAGUGUGAAGACUGGAAGUCAAGGGGGCAGUCUGUAGAGUAUUUUACACAUCACAGCAAUAAUGCAUAAGUUUAAAACAGAGGUCACAUUCUCUACAAAAUAUUCUAAGAAGUGCACAUUGAGACGUCUUACUUAUGAACGGGACUAAGUGCCAAAGAUGUGGCUACUUCUUACUUGAAAAUAUGAGAAUGUCUUGACAGCACUUCAAAGCCAGGUUUCUAUAGUCUUAAAAAUAUAAGAUUGGGGGCAUGUGGGUGGCUCAGUGUUGAGCACCUACCUGCCUUUGGCUCAGGGCAUGAUCCCGGGGUCCUAGAAUCAAGUCCUGCAUCAGGCACCAUGCAGGGAGCCUGCUUCUCCCUCUGCCUAUGUCUCUUCCUCUCUCUCUGUGUGUCUCAUGAAUAAAUAAGUAAAAUCUUUAAAAAAUAUGAGAUCAAUUGGAUGCAAAAGUCUAAUAAUUAUAAAGUGGUUUGAAAUACAGUUGUUUUAUUUCAGAUUAAUGCAUGAUGUCAAGUGUCAUUAAUAAAGUACAACGAGAAACCCCCAAAGAUUGCAGAUUUGGCAUAAAAUAUCUUCUAGUAAUCUCUUAACUUUCUGUUUCUUGCUAAGAGACUUCAAGUCACAUAUUCACAUGAUUUUUCUUAAUUGUACUUUAGCCUCUCUUAAUCGAAUACUUAGUGGCCAAAGGAUGUUAAGAAUAAGAGAUGCUCUCAAAGACUCCAAAUGAGGCUAUUUGUGUUGGUCUGGUGCUCCUGGAGACCAGCUCAGUAUGGCUGGAGAGUCAGUUAUGAAGAUGUGAGCGCUGUACACAGCAGAUGAACAGCAGGGUAGUGGGCAAUGCCUCAUCUGCAAACGGGCAGCAUCAAGGAAUGCGGUACGGAAUAAUCAAAAGCAGAAUGCAGCACAUUACAUAACAGGGACAAGUCUCAGGGAAGGUUCAAAGUGGAGAAAUACACAUCGGUGGGAGAGAAGAUGAACACAGUCUUCAAAUGCCUUAUAAAUAACUAUGCCAGGUGUAUUCUGAGAUAAUUGAUUACAUUCUUUAAAAACUACUAAUGUAAAACCUUCUCGGGCUCAAGUUCAACAAAUGCAUGUAUCUUUCUGGCUUGCAAAAAUCUGAUGGUCAAAAUCUUAAAUCUAUAAGGGUAUCUAUCAACUUUCUAAUAUCUCCUGGUUGAUUAAAUGGUAUGAGAAAAAAAAGGGAGGAUUUUUUUUUUUUUUUUUUUUUUUUUUACUUAAAAGGACAACAUGAAAUGAACUACAAAUGAAACUGGGAGAAUAAGAGAAAAUGAAGCCCUUGGCUUCUCCCCUUAUUUUUUCGGUCUGCUGAUAGAUCUGUAGCAAGGAGACAGAGCCUGAGGCUGACGCAGGAUAGGCAAUGGG
rnacentral:lncRNA from 1 species